rnacentral:rRNA from 1 species
UGGGGAAUAUUGCACAAUGGAGGGAACUCUGAUGCAGCAACGCCGCGUGGAGGAAGACACAUUUCGGUGCGUAAACUCCUUUUAUAUAAGAAGAUAAUGACGGUAAUAUAUGAAUAAGCGCCUGCU